GGGCGGUUAGCUCAGUUGGUUAGAGCGUGGCGUUUACACCGCCAAGGUCAGAGGUUCGAGCCCUCUACCGCCUA
rnacentral:tRNA from 1 species